UCUACUUUAUUAAUUUGUGGUUUCCCUUUUGAAUAGCAAAUAGAACAUGAUGGAAUGAAUAAAUAAUGGAAAACAAAUUAGAAUCAAUAAAUUUAUUACCAUGAUCUUCAUGUUCUUUGAUUCUGAAUCGCCUUACUGUACGUUACUAACUAUUUCUUACAUCUUUCGUUUAUCAAUCUGCUUCUAAAUUAAGUUUGAAAAAUUGUGAAUGGUAAUGUCGGUUAAAAACUUAAAAUAUUAUAUUAUGCAUCUUUAGUCUACAAAUAAGAAAGAUGAAGUAGUGUAACUAAGUUGAUGGUUGGAUAUUUCCUAUCCUGAAUCUGCAGUUACUAUUAGCUUUGAAUGUGAUAAGAGUCAAAACCAUGAGAAUUUGAAAUCCUAUCUAUCACAUCAAAUAUAUAUUACAUAACCCGUUUCGUUUUGCAUUCAAUCUUAUCAUAUCUUUUGUUUUCUUAAUUUGCAAUUUGUUCUGAUUUACUCUUCUUGCAGGUUUUGCUUAUCACUGGUGGAGAUCAAUUUCUCUGUUGACAGUCGGUGCUUUUUUUUACAAUCAGAACAUCCAUGGUUACAAAACACAAAGAAAGCCCCAAAUUUUCCAUUAGGAGAUAUUGCAAAGCCCAGGCUCAAUCAGUUUUCAGUAGUAAGCAGUUCUCAGUAAUAAAUAAAUUUAUGGGGACAUGUUCACAUUGAUGGACGCUGAUAAAGAUGGCAAAGUAACUUAUGAGGAAUUGAACACUGGUCUUCAAAAGGUUGGUUUGCAGUUGGCUGAACCAGAGGUUAAGGUGCUGAUGGAAAUGAUAAGGCUGAUGUUGAUGGGAAUGGAUUUCUGGAUUAUGCAGAGUUCGCAGCAGUUACAAUUCACUUGCAAAAAUUGGAGAAUGAUGAACAUCUCUGGAGAGCAUUUAUAUUCUACGACAAGGAUGGAAGUGUGUAUAUUGAUUUAGUUGAGCUAAGGCAAGCAUUGGUAGAUAUGCCACUUCCAACCCACCUCUUCUCUUUGAUGGCACUCCCAGGUUGUGUACCUAUUACUCAAUGGCUUCCUGUGACUCUCUCUCUCUCCUUCACUCUAUCGUAUCAUGAUAGAAUGAAGCGAAGUGAUUAACAUGGUUGUGCAAGUUUCCGCUGAAGUUCAUGGACUUGAUUUCUGUUUCUGUGUAAAUGGCUUUCAAGAUUAAACUCCACUGGUAGGUUUUAUUUCGUCAAACCUAUCAAUGUUUUACUACACAUUUCUGUUUGCGUAAAUGGCGUUCAAGAUUAAACUCCACUGGUAGGUUUUAUGUCGUCGAACCUAUCAAUGUUUUACUGCACAUUUGAUUAUCAUUUCACUAUUACUACUAUGUCUACCUUUUAUACAUUGUAUGGUAUCGUAAUAGUUUGUAUUGUACUUACUGAGUGGUAAUUUGCUUUUGUUGGCAGAGUCGUUAUCUCAGAAGUGGAAAGAGCUGAUGGGGAAGGCUUGCUCAAAGCAACUUCAGCCCCAUGAGUACAGCUCAGGUCUUCAUCAUUGAAGCUCUUUUUGUCCAUGUAAUAUCUCAUUGCAUUCUCCUGUACAAUGUACUCCUUUAGGUUAUACUGAAUCCACCAAAAUCUCACAAUCAGGUCAAACCAAAUCUGCAAAUUUCAGUGUUGCUAUAUAUGUAAUGUUAUAAGCUCAAUAGUAUAACUGUCUGCAUCAGCAAUUACUCUUAUGAACAAUCUGCA